rnacentral:rRNA from 1 species
AUGCUAGAUCAAGUAGACAUGAUUUCAUACAUAACUGAAGAGAACAAAAGGAGAAAGAGGAAAAUGAUAGUAUUGACAGAACUUUACUUUGAAUCUGUUCUUCUCGGAAUGGCGUACCUUAUUUCACAAAGAGCACCUCCUGGAUUAGGUAGUUUUAGCGAUGAUGAACACAAACACACACUUAGGAAGUACUUGUUGAAGGAUAUGUAUGAUGACUUACAAGUGGCAUGCUAUGAUCAGCUACGUUUAACGAAAAGAAAUUUUCAUGAUUUAUGCACCAUGUUGCGUGAGAGGUGUGGUCUGCGUGAUAGUGUGUAUGUGGUUGUGGAAGAAAAGGUUGCCAUGUUCUUGCUAGUAGUGGGUCACGGUCUGAAAAUGAGGUUGCUUUGA